UACGUAGGGUGCGAGCGUUGUCCGGAAUUAUUGGGCGUAAAGCGCUUGUAGGCGGUCCACCAAGUUUGGGGUGACAGUUGCCGACUUAAUCGGCAAAGUGCCUCAAAGACUGGCGGACUUGAGGGCCACAGAGGGACAUGGAACUCCAGGUGUAGUGGUGAAAUGCGUAGAUAUCUGGAAGAACACCAAAGGCGAAGGCAGUGUCCUGGGUGGUCGCUGACGCUGAGAGGCGAAAGCCAGGGGAGCGAACGGG
rnacentral:rRNA from 1 species